rnacentral:rRNA from 1 species
AUUGAACGCUGGCGGCAUGCCUUACACAUGCAAGUCGAACGGUAUCGGGCCUUCGGGUGCCGACGAGUGGCGAACGGGUGCGUAAUACAUCGGAACGUGCCCGAUCGUGGGGGAUAACGAGGCGAAAGCUUUGCUAAUACCGCAUACGAUCUACGGAUGAAAGCAGGGGACCGCAAGGCCUUGCGCGGACGGAGCGGCCGAUGGCAGAUUAGGUAGUUGGCGGGAUAAAAGCUUACCAAGCCGACGAUCUGUAGCUGGUCUGAGAGGAUGAUCAGCCACACUGGGACUGAGACACGGCCCAGACUCCUACGGGAGGCAGCAGUGGGGAAUUUUGGACAAUGGGCGCAAGCCUGAUCCAGCCAUGCCGCGUGCAGGAUGAAGGCCUUCGGGUUGUAAACUGCUUUUGUACGGAACGAAAAGCCUUCUUUUAAUACAGGAGGGUCAUGACGGUACCGUAAGAAUAAGCACCGGCUAACUACGUG